AUUAAAAGCUGAUGGUUUGUCAAGGAUCCUCGUGAUCUUUAGAGAUGAGGCUCAGAGCAGCAAGGGAGAUCAGCAUCUCCAUGUCCCAGCCAUGAGUCCAUGAGGAGUGAUCAGUCAAUGGGUCAUCCAGAGGAUUUAAAAGAAUCCAGCUCAGAGCAGCAGGGAAGAUCCUCUUCAUGUCCCAACCAAAAGUCUGUAAGGAGUGAUCAGUGUGUGAGCUGUCCACUGGAUUUAAAAGAAUCUAGUGCUGCCUCACCCCUUGAUCAAAUUCGAGAAGCAGUCCAAUCAAAUCUGAGGAGAUUUCAGUGUUUGUGUGAAGGGAUAUCAAGACAUAGUGACCUCAUACCUCUCAACGAGAUCUACAC